GCCUGGCUGGCUCAGUCUGAAGAGCAUGUGACUCUUGAUCACAUGGGUCAUGGGUUUGAACCCCACCUUGGGUA
rnacentral:tRNA from 1 species